GGAGCAGCCACCUUUCAAGAAGAGGCGGCUGCUGGAAGAGGCUGAUAACAUCGAGCCCAUGGAGGUGGACCCGCCUGGCAGCCAAGAAGAGCCCAUGGAGGUGGAUCCACCUGUGGCAGAUGAGCUGAUGGAAGUGGAUCCACCUCCAUUGGGGCAGACUGGCCAUCUCUCUGCUGCUGCCAGGCCAACCAGGAAGAGGUCGCGCCCCAAAUUUCAUCGCAGGGGCGCCGGGAUCCGUCCACCUCCCGUGAAACGGCCGCCUCGAUGCCGGCGCUGAUCCUCCCGUCCUGUAAGUUUGCCCUUACCCAGGAGAGCCCCAGCUCACAGCCAUCCUGCAGGCUCACGUGAAGCCUCCAUUGCCUGGUCCUUCUUCUUUUCACAGCCAAGGCUCCUACGAGCCCUUCCUUCCCAUCCCUCUCCCUUGUCCCUUCCCAAGUCCUCUCAUCUCUUCUUCACCAAGUCCUGAGGAAGAGGGCAGGGCAGGGACUGCCAUCCUCAAAGUUGCUGUGCCGGGGCAGCGGGACAAGUAUGACAGAGGGACCUCAAACAUCACAGGGGUGCGAGGAUCCUAACAAGGCUCCCAUGAGCCCCCUCCCUCAUCUCUGCCCAGGGCCAGAGGAGAAGCCUAAGAAGGGACAGAGAUAGCUGCUUCUGGGGAGAACCACACGUCAGCUGGGACAGGAAGAAGUGCUGAACUGCAGCAAGAAGGUCCAAUCCAGGUGCUGUGUCUGGACGUUUCUGUCAAGCCUGGACAAUCAUCGGUUUAAAAUGACAAUACAAA